UGGGUGAACAGCAUUCACUAGAGGUAGCCU
rnacentral:piRNA from 1 species